rnacentral:rRNA from 1 species
UACAGGGGGGGCAAGCGUUGUUCGGAAUUACUGGGCGUAAAGGGUUUGUAGGUGGCUUGUUAAGUCAGACGUGAAAUCCCUCAGCUUAACUUGGGAAGUGCUUUUGAUACUGCAGAGCUUGAAUGUGGGAGAGGAUAAUAGAAUUCCAGGUGUAGUGGUGAAAUUCGUAGAUAUCGGGAGGAACACCGGUGGCGAAGGCGGCGAUCUGGGUAGAUACUGACGCUGAGGUGCGAAAGCGUGGGGAGCAAACAGG